GACGGGCAGUGUGGUGUGUGGGCGCCGCAUCUACGGGCAACGACCACUUGCCCGGCCAACUGCAAGCAAACCCUCUCGCUCCGCUAAGCUCGCUUUAUACCAAAACCGCCACCGAAGGAAAGUGUGCUCGCUUCCUCCUCUACGCUCCCGAUUCCUUGUGCGGCGUUCCUUCUUCUGGAUGCCAUUAGGAGAGGCGAAGUGAGCGAGCUCCCCGCAUCCGAAACCUUAAGCGAGCGGAUUAAGAAGAGGAGGGGGGAGUAGAAGAAGCCAAGGGAGCGGACCCGUCUGAUGGCGAGAGGUGCCGAAGCCGGCGAGACUUCGCGGCCGCCGCCCAACAUCCCGGCCCUACGGGUGCGGGCGAGGCCGGACCCCUUGCUGAUCGUCUGCCGCUGCUUCAGCUUCAUCACCGCCGUCGCCGCCGUCGCCUGUGUCUUCGUGAACGCCCUCUUCGCCGUCCGAUCCUUCAGAAACGGAUCUGAUAUCUUUGGCGGAAUAUUUCGAUGCUACGCGGUUGCCAUCUCCCUCUUCGUGGCUGUCGCUGAGACCGAAUGGGGUUUCAUCAUCAAAAUCUGGAGGAUAUUGGAGUACUGGGCAUGCAGGGGCAUGCUGCAGAUUUUUGUUGCUGUCAUGACAAGAGCUUUCCCGGUUGUCAGUGGAGAGCCGAGGUACCUGGUGCUUCUUCAGGAGAUCUCCAGCUACUUGCUUCUUGCUUGUGGCUUAACCUAUGUGAUCUCGGGUGCAUCAUGCAUUGGUUUCUUGAAGCGAUCGCGCCAGCAUCAGGAAACAACAAGAGAGCAAGCAGCUAGAGAUCUAGAAGAACUGAUGCAGCGCAAGGAAGAACUUGAGGCGUUGCUAAUCGUGGAUAGGACCUGACAACAUGAGGAUUCAUUGCCACGAGCAAAAAUCUUGAGGAGAUUUGGAUAGCCUUUCCGAUCCGAGGAUAGGACACUGGUAACGAGCUUCCUGUUUCCAUGGGAGACUUGCUCUACUUCCGGAGGAAGUCGGAAUAAGGUUGGUGUCAGGAUCACGAAGACCUUUCUGUUCGUGAGCAGUUCAGAAGACUCAAGGUUGGAAAGAGGCUUGGAACCUACCUGUUUGAGGUGAUUCCGACCUUAGUUUCCGGGCACGUCUAGAAAGAAUUAUUAAGGUGAUGAUGACGACCACCUGAUUCCCCGAGGCCUUGUAAAAUCUAACGACAGCAGUUUACUGGGGACUGUUGACCAACAGGCUCCCAAGAUUGUGAGCGAUUCCCCGAUCUGAAAGAAGAUAUUGUCGGCCAAAUCGACGCGCUUGCUUCGGUGUUCCAGCCGCAUGACAAGCGAGUUCUCGGAGCACUUCAUAUCUGGUCCGGCGGCAAUCCUCGUCUUCUUAUGUCGUCGUCUCAUUUACAUGCCACG